rnacentral:rRNA from 1 species
AUGGAAACGAUGGAAAUAAGCCUGGUGCUGAUCGUUGUUGUCUUGUGCGCCAGUGCUGCUACCCUAGUUACUUGUAGUAGCCCAGGGUUCCACAUGCAACUCAGGCACGUUGAUGGCAAGGGCAGCUACACCGCCGCAGAGCGCGUGCAGCGCGCUAUGGCAAGCAGCCGGCAGCGCCUGGCAACCUUUGUGGACGUGACCGUGCCGGUCCACUGGAACACCAGCCAGUACAUUGCAGAGUACCUGAUCGGCACCCCACCGCAGCGCGCCGAGGCCCUCAUUGACACCGGCAGUGACCUCAUCUGGACGCAGUGCUCCGACUGCAGCCAAUGCGUCAAGCAGGGCCUGCCCCACUAUAACGCGUCCAUGUCAAACACCUUCCAUCCCAUGUCAUGCAACGAUGCCUUGUGCCUGGCCACCCAGGAGCACUCGUGCCGCCCGGACGGAAGCUGCACUUUCAGGGCUUUCUACGGCGCCGGCGACGCCUCAGGGACUAUCGACACCGAGGUCUUCGCCUUUCAAAACGGAUCAGCGAGGCUCACGUUCGGCUGCGUCGAGUCGCUGAUGAUUGCUCCGGGGUCCCUUGACGGGGCGUCCGGCCUCAUAGGGCUUGGCCGCGGCCCCCUAUCGCUCGUCUCUCAGGCGGGCGCCAACAAGUUCUCUUACUGCCACACUCCCUACCUCGGCAGCAACGCCACCAUCGGUGCGAGCAGCCACCUUUUCGUCGGCGCCUUGGCGAGCCUUAGCGGCGACAGCCCUGUGAUGUCCAUGUCUUUCGUGCAAGGCCCUAAAGAGUACCCAUUCUACUACGUUCCACUUGUCGGUAUAAGUGUGGGACAGACAAGGUUGCCCAUCCCACCGGCCGUGUUCGCUCUGAAACCAAAGGGCACCGGCGGCGGUGUCAUCGUCGACUCCGGUACCCCCACUACGGGUCUGGCCCACGGGGCGUAUGGGCCCCUGCGCGAGGAGCUCCAGAGGCAGCUGAACGGGAGCCUCGUGCCGCCACCCGCUGACAGCGAGAUGGAUCUGUGUGUGGCAGUGGCGCAGGAAAAGAAAGUGCCGUCCAUGGUGCUCCACUUUAGUGGCAGAGCGGACAUGGUGCUGCCCCCGGAGAACUAUUGGGUGCCGCUGGACAGUUCCACGUCAUGCAUGGUCAUGGAUACAUCCAACGACAUGACCAUCAUCGGCAACUUCCAGUUGCAGAACAUCCACCUGUUGUACGACCUUGCCAAGGAUGAGCUCUCUUUCCAAACAGCCGACUGCAGCAAACUCUGA